CGGGAUAACACCUGGAAACAGAUGCUAAUACCGGAUAACAACAGAUGAUGCCUAUCAACUGUUUAAAAGAUGGUUCUGCUAUCACUCUUGGAUGGACCUGCGGUGCAUUAGCUAGUUGGUAGGGUAACGGCCUACCAAGGCGAUGAUGCAUAGCCGAGUUGAGAGACUGAUCGGCCACAUUGGGACUGAGACACGGCCCAAACUCCUACGGGAGGCAGCAGUC
rnacentral:rRNA from 1 species